GAUGAACGCUGGCGGCGUGCCUAAUACAUGCAAGUCGAGCGAACAGACGAGGAGCUUGCUCCUCUGACGUUAGCGGCGGACCGGUGAGUAACACGUGGAUAACCUACCUAUAAGACUGGGAUAACUUCGGGAAAACGGAGCUAAUACCGGAUAAUAUAUUGAACCGCAUGAUUCAAUAGUGAAAUACGGUUUUGCUGUCACUUAUAGAUGGACCCGCGCCGAAUUAGCUAGUUGGUAAGGUAACGGCUUACCACGGCGACGAUGCGUAGCCGACCUGAGAGGGUGAUCGGCCACACUGGAACUGAGACACGGUCCAGACUCCUACGGGAGGCAGCAGUAGGGAAUCUUCCGCAAUGGGCGAAAGCCUGACGGAGCAACGCCGCGUGAGUGAUGAAGGUCUUCGGAUCGUAAAACUCUGUUAUUAGGGAAGAACAAAUGUGUAAGUAACUAUGCACGUCUUGACGGUACCUAAUCAGAAAGCCACGGCUAACUACGU
rnacentral:rRNA from 1 species